GAUACGCGUCUUGGUUAUUGAUGUUAGAUGCUUGCAUUUAACCGAUUUAACAUUGAGACUNGUGGCGAACUGGUGAGNAACACGUGGGUAACCUGCCCUUGAAGUAGGGGAUAACACUUGGAAACAGGGGCUAAUACCGCAUAACAACCAAAACCACCUGGUUUUGGUUUAAAAGAUGGCUUCGGCUAUCACUUUAGGAUGGACCCGCGGCGUAUUAGCUUGUUGGUCAAGGUAACGGCCUACCAAGGCAAUGAUACGUAGCCGACCUGAGAGGGUAAUCUGACACAUUGGGACUGAGACACNGCCCAAACUNUACGGGAGGCAGCAUGGAGGGAAUCUUNCACACUGGACGAAAGCUNAUGGAGCAACCCCGCNUGAGUGAUGAA
rnacentral:rRNA from 1 species